CAAUGACGUCAUACCUACCGAAGCAUACCAACACACAAAUUUUCCUGGUGGUCCUAUCAUGCUGACGAUGAAACUAAGCAGGAUCACUCUGAAAAUGUCAGACUUGGAGGAGUACGAGCAACUCAAGCGUGCCAAAGAGAAACUGAUGGACACCGACGACCCUCCACCCACUACCACCCCUCAGAAGGGAGAGCCAUCCACCGCCACUGGACCCAAGUUUGAUAAACCAAGCAGAAGUGUCCCCCGAUCAUCAACACCUGAACACUCUACAUAAUGACUUUAUAUGUUUUGCUCGCUUUAUAAUAUCAUAAUAGCUCUGUACAUGCAAUCUUGUUCACUCUUUUCAAAAAUUUAACAAUCAAAGAUAAUUAUACACAAUUACAA